rnacentral:rRNA from 1 species
AUUGAACGCUGGCGGCAUGCCUUACACAUGCAAGUCGAACGGCAGCAUGAUCUAGCUUGCUAGAUUGAUGGCGAGUGGCGAACGGGUGAGUAAUACAUCGGAACGUGCCCUGUAGUGGGGGAUAACUAGUCGAAAGAUUAGCUAAUACCGCAUACGACAUGAGGGUGAAAGUGGUGGACCGCAAGGACUCAUGCUAUAGGAGCGGCCGAUGUCUGAUUAGCAAGUUGGUGAGGUAAAGGCUAACCAAGGCGACGAUCAGUAGCUGGUCUGAGAGGACAAUCAGCCACACUGGGACUGAAACACGGCCCAGACUCCUACGGGAGGCAGCAGUGGGGAAUUUUGGACAAUGGGGGCAACCCUGAUCCAGCAAUGCCGCGUGUGUGAAGAAGGCCUUCGGGUUGUAAAGCACUUUUGUCCGGAAAGAAAUCGCACUUACUAAUAUUAGGUGUGGAUGACGGUACCGGAAGAAUAAGGACCGGCUAACUACGUGCCAGCCGCCGCAGUAAUAC